GAAUGAUGAUGUGAGGGAAAUUUCUGAGUAUACUUUUAAAUCUCUCCCAAGCUUGGUAGAGAUUCUCUCUUUCUUUCUAUCUGAAACUUAGAAUCUCACUUCUCAAAUG
rnacentral:snoRNA from 1 species